rnacentral:rRNA from 1 species
GGGAUUGCCUCAGUAACGGCGAGUGAAGCGGCAAGAGCUCAAAUUUGAAAUCUGGCGCCCCGCCGGCGUCCGAGUUGUAAUUUGGAGAGGCAUCUUCAGGAGGGGGCCCGGCCUAUGUUCCUUGGAACAGGGCGUCGCAGAGGGUGAGAAUCCCGUUCUUGGCCGAACUGCCCCUCCGGUGUGCAGUGUCUUCUACGAGUCGAGUUGUUUGGGAAUGCAGCUCAAAAUGGGUGGUAAAUUUCAUCUAAAGCUAAAUAUGGGCGAGAGACCGAUAGCGCACAAGUAGAGUGAUCGAAAGAUGAAAAGCACUUUGAAAAUAGAGUCAAACAGCACGUGAAAUUGUUGAAAGGGAAGCGCUUGAGACCAGACUCGGCCAUGGACUAACAGCUGUCCCUUCUGGGCGGUGCACUUGUCCCUGGCCGGGCCAGCAUCGGUUGGGGCGGCGGGACAAAGGCUGGGGGAAUGUGACUCCCUUGCGGAGUGUUAUAGCCCCCGGCGCAAUGCCGCCCGCCCCGACCGAGGACCGCGCUUCGGCUAGGAUGCUGGCGUAAUGGUCUUCAGCGGCCCGUCUUGAAACACGGACCAAGGAGUCUAACAUCUAUGCGAGUGUUUGGGCUUCAAACCCUGGCGCGUAAUGAAAGUGAACGGAGGUGGGAACCCUGCGAGGGGCGCACCAUCGACCGAUCCUGAUGUCCUCGGAUGGAUUUGAGUAGGAGCAUAGCUGUUGGGACCCGAAAGAUGGUGAACUAUGCCUGAAUAGGGUGAAGCCAGAGGAAACUCUGGUGGAGGCUCGCAGCGGUUCUGACGUGCAAAUCGAUCGUCAAAUUUGGGUAUAGGGGCGAAAGACUAAUCGAACCAUCUAGUAGCUGGUUCCUGCCGAAGUUUCCC